rnacentral:rRNA from 1 species
AUUGAACGCUGGCGGCAGGCUUAACACAUGCAAGUCGAACGAGUGGCGGACGGGUGAGUAAUGCAUGGGAAUCUACCUUAUGGAGGGGGAUAACUACGGGAAACGGUAGCUAAUACCGCAUACCAUAGGAUGAGCCCAAAUGGGAUUAGCUAGUUGGUGGGGUAAAGGCUCACAAAGCCGACGAUCUCUAGCUGGUCUGAGAGGAUGACCAGCCACACUGGGACUGAGACACGGCCCAGACUCCUACGGGAGGCAGCAGUGGGGAAUAUUGCACAAUGGGGGCAACCUGACGCAGCCAUGCCGCGUGAAUGAAGAAGGCCUUAGGGUUGUAAAGUUCUUUCGGCAGCGAGGCGUUAACCACAGAAGAAGCACCGGCUAACUCCGUGCCAGCCGCCGCGGUAAUUC